UGGGGUUUCCCCGGGUCGUCGCCUGUUUUAUCAAAAACAUGUCUUUUUGUUUUUAAUUUAAAGUCAGGCCUGCCCCAUGAUUUAUUUUAAUGGCCGCAGUAUAUUAACUGUGCAAAGGUAGCAUAAUCAUUUGUUAUUUAAUUGAUAACUGGAAUGAAUGGUUUUAUAAAAAAUAUUCUUUUUUUAUUUUUAAUUUAAAAUUUUAUUUUAGAGUCAAAAAGCUUUAAUUUACUUAUUAGACGAUAAGACCCUUUAGAACUUUAAUAUUAUUUUGAAUUAUAUUUUUAGUUUUAUAAAUAUAAAUUAUUUAUAUAUUUUUGUUGGGGUGACAGUUAAAUUUUUAAAACUUUAAUUUAUAUUUAUUCAUAUAUUUAUGAUUUUUUUGAUCCAAUAUUUUUGAUUAUAAGAUUAAGUUACCUUAGGGAUAACAGCGUAAUUUUGUUGGAGAGUUCUUAUUAAUAACAAAGUUUGCGACCUCGAUGUUGGAUUAAACUUAUAUUCAAAAACAGGUUGAGUCAACCCCGUCCCCCUAGCC
rnacentral:rRNA from 1 species